UACGGAGGGUGCAAGCGUUAUCCGGAAUCACUGGGUUUAAAGGGUGCGUAGGCGGUUUGAUAAGUCAGUUGUGAAAUCCCCCGGCUUAACCGGGUGGACUGCGAUUGAUACUGUUAGACUUGAAUCAGGUUGAGGUAGGCGGAAUGUGACAUGUAGCGGUGAAAUGCUUAGAUAUGUCAUAGAACACCGAUUGCGAAGGCAGCUUGCUAGACCUGGAUUGACGCUGAGGCAUGAAAGCGUGGGGAGCAAACAGG
rnacentral:rRNA from 1 species